AAACCGGAGGAAGGUGGGGAUGACGUCAAGUCAUCAUGGCCCUAACGGCCAGGGCUACACACGUGCUACAAUGGCGUAUACAGAGGGAAGCGACCUCGCGAGAGCAAGCGGAACCCAAAAAGUACGUCGUAGUCCGGAUCGGAGUCUGCAACUCGACUCCGUGAAGUCGGAAUCGCUAGUAAUCGCAAAUCAGAAUGUUGCGGUGAAUACGUUCCCGGGCCUUGUACACACCGCCCGUCACACCAUGGGAGUGGGUUGCACCAGAAGUAGUUAGUCUAACCUUCGGGAGGACGAUUACCACGGUGUGAUUCAUGACUGGGGUGAAGUCGUAACAAGGUAACCA
rnacentral:rRNA from 1 species